rnacentral:rRNA from 1 species
CGUAGGUAACCUGCCUGGUAGCGGGGAUAACUAUUGGAAACGAUAGCUAAUACCGCAUAAGAGUAGAUGUUGCAUGACAUUUGCUUAAAAGGUGCAAUUGCAUCACUACCAGAUGGACCUGCGUUGUAUUAGCUAGUUGGUGGGGUGACGGCUCACCAAGGCGACGAUACAUAGCCGACCUGAGAGGGUGAUCGGCCACACUGGGACUGAGACACGGCCCAGACUCCUACGGGAGGCAGCAGAC